rnacentral:tRNA from 1 species
CAGGAAAUAUGCCCGAAUCUAAGGACUACUUUGAUAGAGUAUACGACAGGGGUUAAAAUCCCCUUAUUUC